CAAUAGCGUAUAUUAAAGUUGUUGCAGUUAAAAAGCUCGUAGUUGGAUUUCUGGUAGGAGUGACCGUUCCGAACUUGAUUGUUCGUGUAUUGUGUUUUCUCCAGCCAUCCUUGUGGAGAACUUUUCUUGCAUUAAUUUGUAGGGAUUGGGACCCGCAUCGUUUACUGUGAAAAAAUUAAAGUGUUUAAAGCAGGCAAUCGCUUGAAUACAUUAGCAUGGAAUAAUAAGAUAGGACUUUGGUACUAUUUUGUUGGUUUGCAUACCAAAUUAAUGGUCAACAGGAACAGUUUGAGGAUAUUCGUAUGAACAUGUCAGAGGUGAAAUUCUUGGAUUUUGAUCAGACGAACUACUGCGAANGNAUUUAUNAAGGAUGUUUNCAUUA
rnacentral:rRNA from 1 species